rnacentral:rRNA from 1 species
GAUGAACGCUGGCGGCGUGCCUAAUACAUGCAAGUCGAGCGAACAGACGAGGAGCUUGCUCCUCUGACGUUAGCGGCGGACGGGUGAGUAACACGUGGAUAACCUACCUAUAAGACUGGGAUAACUUCGGGAAACCGGAGCUAAUAUCGGAUAAUAUAUUGAACCGCAUGGUUCAAUAGUGAAAGACGGUUUUGCUGUCACUUAUAGAUGGAUCCGCGCCGCAUUAGCUAGUUGGUAAGGUAACGGCUUACCAAGGCAACGAUGCGUAGCCGACCUGAGAGGGUGAUCAGCCACACUGGAACUGAGACACGGUCCAGACUCCUACGGGAGGCAGCAGUAGGGAAUCUUCCGCAAUGGGCGAAAGCCUGACGGAGCAACGCCGCGUGAGUGAUGAAGGUCUUCGGAUCGUAAAACUCUGUUAUUAGGGAAGAACAAAUGUGUAAGUAACUAUGCACGUCUUGACGGUACCUAAUCAGAAAGCCACGGCUAACUACGUG